rnacentral:tRNA from 1 species
CGACCGCGUUCGCGGCGGGCGUGCCGGCGUUCUCGACGCUGGACGCCGUCACGGGGUGGUUCAGGGCCAGGUCGGUCGAC